GCCGAGCUCAAUUGUGAGAGUUUGUAACCCAAGUGGGGGCAUCAAGGUGAUGUCGACAUUUGUAGCGCUGCGGGCCUGGUCUGGGAAUGCUAUUGCUGACCCGCUCGUUCCAAGUUGCGUAGUGGACCGCUUGGGGUCUAUACGAAAGCUGGGCCUCAUGGUCCAUAAUGUGGCAGGCACAGCGUGAGGCUGGCUUCAUAGAGCAGCGACAACUGCCCGCUUCCAACGGUGGAAGGAUAACGGGCCGCUGCACUCCUAGGCCGCUUGGGCCUCGUAGCCUACUCCAGCGAACCAUCACAUUU
rnacentral:SRP_RNA from 2 species